rnacentral:rRNA from 1 species
UACGGGGGAUGCAAGCGUUAUCCGGAAUCAUUGGGCGUAAAGCGCCUGUAGGUUGUUUGUUAAGUCUGUUGUUAAAGACUAGGGCUCAACCCUAGAAAUGCGAUGGAAACUAAUAGACUAGAGUAUGGUAGGGGUAGAGGGAAUUUCUAGUGUAGCGGUGAAAUGCGUAGAUAUUAGAAAGAACACCGGUGGCGAAGGCGCUCUACUGGACCAUUACUGACACUCAGAGGCGAAAGCUAGGGGAGCAAAA